GAUCUGGCGGAGAGGGAACGCAUCUGGAAGAUGUGUCUUCAGGACGAAGAACACAGGGACUGCUUAGGACGAGUGAAGGGACGUUUCAGGAUGAAACAAGGGACACCUCCAGGAUGGAGAUUGAGAGCCAGUUCAGGAUGAUUGGUGGGUUAGGAUAGCCUAAGGAUUAACGCCGGGAUGGUGUAUAACAUUGCGAUGGAUUGCUGGUUAGUAUAACCAUACGGAAAAGUUUUCAGGGAUUGAGCAGGGAGCAUCAAUUUUAGCUGGAUUGCUAUAAAACGAAUUGAGGGGUACUGGUAAAACAGUACCCCUUUUUUUGUUU
rnacentral:other from 1 species